AUUGAACGCUGGCGGCAGGCUUAACACAUGCAAGUCGCGCGGAGCUGAGGUGCUUGCACCUUAUCUUAGCGGCGGACGGGUGAGUAAUGCUUAGGAAUCUGCCUAUUAGUGGGGGACAACAUUCCGAAAGGAAUGCUAAUACCGCAUACGCCGUACGGGGGAAAGCAGGGGAUCUUCGGACCUUGCUCUAAUAUAUGAGCCUAAGUCGGAUUAGCUAGUUGGUGGGGUGAAGGCCUACCAAGGCGACGAUCUGUAGCGGGUCUGAGAGGAUGAUCCGCCACACUGGGACUGAGACACGGCACAGACUCCUACGGGAGGCAGCAGUGGGGAAUAUUGGACAAUGGGCGGAAGCCUGAUCCAGCCAUGCCGCGUGUGUGAAGAAGGCCUUUUGGUUGUAAAGCACUUUAAGCGAGGAGGAGGCUACCUGGAUUAAUACUCUAGGAUAGUGGACGUUACUCGCAGAAUAAGCACCGGCUAACUCUGUGCCAGCCGCCGCAGUAAAAC
rnacentral:rRNA from 1 species